rnacentral:lncRNA from 1 species
CACACACACACACACACACAUACACACACAAACAUCAUGGUUUUAGAAUUAUCAACACUGAUAUUUUAAAAUGGUGGCAAGAUAGACAACAAAAUGAACUAUUUAGCCAUCAUGUUGUGGGAAAUACUAUGUGUUCAAGCUAGUAUUAUAGCUUCUGAAAGAUGGUUUUCUUUUAGUGACAAGUUAUCAAAUGCAAGGAUGAAGCUUUUGAUGUAGAAUUGAUGCAAGUGUCAUUAAGUCUUAAAGACUAUUACAGUUCGAAUAUGAGAUCACAAAACUAAUCAAUCUUGAAGAGGGCUUGUAUGCAAUCGAAGUAGAUAUCUUACAAGACGAACCAUUUAGCCAACAAAUUAAAAAAAUUAACCACAUCUUAUUUGAAGGCUUAUACAAAGCUUUCCCAAGACUCAACAAUUUUCAAAAGUUGUAGGUUUAGGGAAUGCUUUGUAAGUUGUCCAAAUAAUAUUAUGUGGUUGUUGCUAUCUCAGUUUCUUCUUGUAAGAUUUCUUUCUUCCGUUGCAUCCAAGCCUUCUUCAAGAUUUGAUUAGUUUUGUAAGAUUGAAGUGUAGUAGUAUUUAAGGCGUCAAAUGCAUUUGCAUCGAUUUUGCGUUCAAAGGGUUUCUCUUUGAAUUUUAUAACUUGCCAUUAAGAGAACUGAAGAUUUUCUAAAGCUAUAAUACUAGUUUGGAGAGUUAGUAUGUCAUGAGAAAGAUAGCUAAAAAUCAUGGUGAUGCUUAUCUUACUACCUUUUUAAAAUAUGGAUGCUUGAAGUUUGUUCUCCUAAUCAUUGUUUUUAUAUAAUUUGUUGUCAUAAAUGGAUAACUCAUCUACACUGGAUGAAGUUUUAAAUGUUUACUAGGUGUGGGACCCGUGUAUUACACGGGUUGAUUUAAAAAAAAAUUAAACAUUAAAUUAAAGUGUAAACAGAAAAUAUUUUUUAAUGUAUAACUUUAAAAUAAAAAAGGAAAAAUGUAUUUAUUGCAAUUUAAUAUCAUAUAUAUGAUAUUUAAUACUUUAUAUAUAUGAAUAUAUGACUUUAAUUUUAAAAAUUGAAACAAAUCAAAAAUUGACAAAUGGAAAAUAUUUAUUUCAAAAAUACCACAAAAUGACAAGUGUCAAAACUCAUAAGAGAUUGACAUGUGGCAAAAAAACCUUCAUUUAUUAAGAAGGAUUACCACUAUGUUGUUGAGCUUUAAAUUCCUCUAAAUAUAAAGGAAAUACCUUUUUUUAACACGUGUUAAUAAAUUCUCUAUUACAUUUUAUAACAUCAAAGGACAACCUAAUGUGUCACAAACUCACAAUAUCCUUUAAUCAACAAAUAUUUAGCAUAUCUCUUGAUGAUGGGGUUUACUCCUCCAACAAUUAUAAAAAGCGUCAUCAACCCUUGAAAUUAUUUCAUAAUUUUUUUCUCUUAUUAAAAGCAUUUUAC